UAGUUUAAACAUUUACACACACACACACACACACACACACACGCUCCUGUACACCUGACACAGACCUUCCCACACACUCCUCAUACAUCUGUAAAGCUCUAGGUCUGUAGUUGAUGAAGGUAAGGUGAGCGCAGAAUGGGACCUCGCACAGCAGAUGGGCCAUCCAAACAUGAGAAGGUCGCCUCUCAGAAUUGUCAUGGUAACAGGAGUGAUGGGUAUUACAAUGAUUCUCCUGUGCUCAAUAACCCAAAGUCAGUUUUGAAGAGGCAGGUGAGUCCAGAAGAGCUACAGACACCUGGAGGGAAAUAUCUGAAGAGGAUAUUUACUAUCGUCGGGGAUGCUGUGGGCUGGGGGUUUGUCGUGAGAGGCAGCAGUCCAUGUCACAUUCAGGCUGUAGAUCCGAGCGGACCAGCCGCUGCUGUCGGAAUGAAGGUAUGUCAGUUUGUAGUGUGUGUGAACGGAGUGAAUGUCUUGGAGAUGGACUAUCGGACCGUCAGUCAUCUCAUUCUCACCGGUCCUCGUACCGUUGUCAUGGAGGUGAUGGAGCCACUGGACUGCUGAGGCUGAAAUGACUAAAGAACCGCUUUUAAAAAUUCAAAGAAGUGCUCAGAAAGAAUUGUGAAAAAAGUCAAAUACUGUGAGUUGCAUAACAUAUGAGGUAAUGACUUGUACCCUGGUGCAUCAGGCUGCUCAAAAGGAAACAAAUAACAUAAAUUGUGAUAGUCCUCAUCAUAUUGUACAGUAAGGAAAAACCCUCAGGGGUUUGCUGGAGGUAAAACAGUUCAGGUGCAGAGUGAAAUAUUUCACCCCCAAUGCUAUAAAUUAGACCUGAAAAAUAUUUUGUUUAUGAAAUAAUUUACGAUUUAAAACACGUUAGACUGUAAGAACCAAAUAAUGGUUGUAAGUUAUUAGAUUUUAAACAUUAGCUGAUCUUUUCUAAGUGGACCUUAAAUACAACGAGGGGAUAAUAAAUAAAUAAAUAAAUAAAUAAAUAAAUAGAUAGAUAAAUAAAUAAAUAAAUAAAUUCUUAGUAGUAGUAAUAUUUUUGUUAAUAUUUAAUAUACUUCCAACUCAUAUAUUUCCACAUAUAAUGUCUUUUUGAUUAUAAAUCUGAACAAAAAUAUGUAUUCCUACCCACAUCCACACACACACACACACACACACACACCCACACACACACACACACACGAACCCUACAAGGAAAUUUAAUUCAUGCUACAAAAAAAGUGACAUUAUUAUAAAUGACCAAUGCUUUUGAGAAAAUUUCACAUUUCAUGCAACAAGUAACAACUGAAAUUGAAUAAGCUUCCAAAAGUUCUCAGAAACAAAAAUCGUAAACAUCACUUAAAUGGAAAUUGGUGCAGAGCUUCAGCAAAGAACAUUAACAUCCUGGUCAGAACGAUUGUUUUGAUGACGUAAAGUUGAAAAGUUCAGGGAACCACAAGAUUUUACAACAAUCCCUAAAACUGAUGAUAAGGAAGAUAAGAGAGACGCCAGAAAUCACUGGAAAAGAGCUGAAGGACAACCUGAAAGCAGCAGGAACAACAAGCACAACAAUAACAUGCCUUCAUCUUACACUUAACUCCUCUGAUACAAAAAGCACAGACGUGCACAUAAUCAUAUUUAAAUAAAUAAGAAAAUAUUUGGAAUUAUAUACUCAAACACAAAAAAACUCUUUGCCAAUAUUUCAGCUCUUCAGAAAGAAUAAAAAGAGAAGGAUUGCACCUAGCACGUUCGCCUCACACCUCCAGGGUUGGGGGUUCGAUUCCUGCCUCCGCCUUGUGUGUGUAGAGUUUGCAUGUUCUCCCCGUGCCUCGGGGGUUUCCUCCGGGUAUUCCGGUUUCCUCCCCCGGUCCAAAGACAUGCAUGGUAGGUUGAUUGGCAUCUCUGGAAAAUUGUCCGUAGUGUGUGAUUGCGUGAGUGAAUGAGAGUGUGUGUGUGUGCCCUGUGAUGGGUUGGCACUCCGUCCAGGGUGUAUCCUGCCUUGAUGCCCGAUGACGCCUGAGAUAGGCACAGGCUCCCCGUGACCCGAGGUAGUUCGGAUAAGCGGUAGAAAAUGAGUGAGAGUGAGUGAGUGAGGAUUGCACCUGAACCUUAAGAACGCCAUCUGCAGUGAAGCACGGUGCUGGGAGCAUCGGGAUACAGUUCUACUUCUCUGCAAACACUGCUGGUUUGCGAAUACACAUCAUGAUUGACCAAAUCAUGAACCAAACAAAGUUUGGAGACAUAUAAAAGGAGACAAGAAAAACAGAAAAAAGAAAAACAGCAACCCCAUGUAUACAGCACAUAAUAACUCGCAUAAAAAAGGCGACGGUGCUCACAUAUGGUGUAUCCAAUCAAAUGACGUGUUAUAAUACUACAAUGCUGUGAAAAAAGGGAUUAAUUAUUGAUUCUUACUAUAAACAUCUUGAAUCAAGUUUACCUAUCUAUUUUGUUAAACCUAUCUUUAUUUAUCUUUUUAAUACAUACGUUUUGGUCAUAUUUAUAAGUGUAAAAUCAAAAGACAUUAUGUGUGUACGUAUAAACUGGAAGUAUAUGUGAUAAGAAUAGCAAUUGGUAUUAAAGACUUAAUUGUUUCCCUUCAGUAAAUUAGUAGAUUUGUUAUUCAGUAAAAGUUUUUAGAACUUCGUUAGCUGAUUUCAGUUAUUGAUCAUUUUAAAUACUGAUUUGUAGAUGUCUAUUUUCUCAGCAGUUCUUUGUGAGCAAGUCUAUGUGUAAAUUGAAAUGAAAUUAACAUAGACAUAUACGUACAUAUACAGACUUUGAUUUAGCUAUCAGUUUAGUUACAAGAGCUCUAAUGUUACACUUUCUAAGUUAUACAAUAAGAAUUGUGAGUAAACUUGACUUAAAGAUGAUCUUUGUUUCAAUUCACAAUUAGAGAGAAGGGAUUAGUGUAAGUUACAUUUUUGACAUUUUGAGUAUAAGACUGAGGUCAAUAUUCAAAACUUGAUAAUUAAUUGGAGUUGACUAUGAUAUACUGUACAUGUAAUGGUUUUUAAAUCUUCAGAAAAUAUCAUUUUAUUUUUUAUUUCUGAUUAACAGCAGAUAUUUGGCUCAUUAUACUGGGAAAUAUGUAACUGUGACAUUUGCAAAUGUUUAAAAUAGUAGAAAUAUUUAUACAAUGUAAUUAGCAUAGGCUGAACAUAAUUAAAAUGAUUUCUUUCGAAGAAUUUAAUUCCAAACAUACGUUGUCAGUUAAUUCGUUAUAAAUGUGCACUCCAUGAAAGUAUUACGUACUUAUAAAAUGCAUUGUUACAUAAUUAUUCUAAUUAUUCGCUCUAGUUUUUAUGCUUUUACUAACAGUGGUGAGUUUUUACUUUAAUAGAUGUUUACUAAUGAUGUUGUAAGUUUACAUACUAAACCUUAUACCACUCCUUCACUCUGUCUCAAGUCUAAAUAUGAUUAAUUAUUGUACAUGGUACACGCUGUAAUUCAUUUAAAUAUGUGAUGUGUUUUAUGUUUGUUAUGGUAGAGCACUUGCCUGUGAUUGUGUGUUACUUGUGGCUUAACAUAUUCAACUUUCUAACAUGGCUACUACAUAUCUGAUUAAUCUUUCUUUAGCUUUCUCUUGUGGUUAUUUUUCUUUGUCCAUGUGUGCACUUAAAAUACAUUUCAACUGUAAACACCCACCUAGUUUCAAUGUUCUUCUUUUUCCCAAUUAGACUUUUCACAGAUAGAUAGAUAGAUAGAUAGACAGAUAGAUAGAUAGAUAGAUAGAUAGAUAGAUAGAUA